rnacentral:rRNA from 1 species
GAUGAACGCUGGCGGCGUGCCUAAUACAUGCAAGUCGAGCGAACAGACGAGGAGCUUGCUCCUCUGACGUUAGCGGCGGACGGGUGAGUAACACGUGGAUAACCUACCUAUAAGACUGGGAUAACUUCGGGAAACCGGAUCUAAUACCGGAUAAUAUAUUGAACCGCAUGGUUCAAUAGUGAAAGACGGUUUUGCUGUCACUUAUAGAUGGAUCCGCGCCGCAUUAGCUAGUUGGUAAGGUAACGGCUUACCAAGGCAACGAUGCGUAGCCGACCUGAGAGGGUGAUCGGCCACACUGGAACUGAGACACGGUCCAGACUCCUACGGGAGGCAGCAGUAGGGUAUCUUACGCAAUGGGCGAAAGCUUGACGGAGCAACGCCGCGUGAGUGAUGAAGGUCUUCGGAUCGUAAAACUCUGUUAUUAGGGAAGAACAAAUGUGUAAGUAACUAUGCACGUCUUGACGGUACCUAAUCAGAAAGCCACGGCUAACUACGUG